UGUGCUGUUGUCAAUGAUGCAUCUGUCUGUCCGACUGUAGUAUGAGGCAACUAAGCAGUUAAUUCGUCACUACCACUGAGACAACAGCUGU
ensembl:snoRNA